UUCUCAGCUGGAGGGUCAUCACCUUCCCAUGCUUUCCCUAAAAUUUCACCAGGUACUGCUGAGAGCAGAUGGAUCCACCACAGCCCAGCUCCACAUUUGCAGCCAAGGACUCACAUUGCUCAUUUCACCAACCCAGCAGCAUUUUCAGUGUCAGAACACCUCUGCCUUUCCCCAUCAAUCUUAUAACUCAGAGAUGCUCUAGGACAGGUUUGCACCCUGGAUUGAAGCUCCCAGCAUUUCUGGGUUUUGUUUUCUCUCCUUCCCUGAUCUUCUCUCUGCUUCCUGGAGAUUUUCCUCCUGCAGGUGUUUCCCUGUGCCUGAUCUCUCUGUGCCAGCACUCCCAGACCCCAAAUCUCUGUGCACUCUCCUUGGCCUGACAGAACCCUGCCUGUUUGCAGGGCACUGGCUGGGGGCAGGUUCUGUUUGCAGCUUGGAGCAAGGACAGCUCAGACUGAGCCUGAUGGCUCCAGCAAAGGUGGUGCUGCUGCUGUCCAUGGGCAGAGUGGCUGAAAGCACAUUAGGGAUCUCCUGUGAACCUACUGAGCACUAAAACUAACAGUUCAGAUGUCUCAGGCACUUGUCAAAAUUCAUAAUCAACCUUUAAUAUUUAUCCCUCCCUCCCUGUCAUUCUCCAGUAGAAGGAAACUGAAUACAAAAUCUCUGGAAAUCUCAUUUUUAUCAAAUCCUUGUCUUGGAAAUAUUUUAUGACUGGUGAGAACCCUUCAGUAUUUCAGAGCUUCAUCAAAAUUUCACCUCCCCUGCACCAGAAAUGCUCAGAGUUGUACUCACAGGGUCUGUGGGCAUUGGGAUGUUCCAGCUUUAGGAGAUCACUCCAGGAGCUGCAGCUGCAUUGUCCUGCAGCCAGAGGUUCCUGUGCCAAGGGCUGGCAGUGAUUCUGCCCCAGGCACUUCUCAGCCCCUUCCCAGCCCUGACUGAUUGAAGCUCUCUGUGCCUCUGUGCUGUGCCCGGGCUGGCUGCAGGCAGUGCCCCAGCCCUGCUGGGCUGGGAGAAGAGCUGCUCAGCAAGAGAAAUGUGCUUUUGAAGCUCUGCUUGGUUACCAGGAUCACCCUCUGUGCCAGGAGCCCGGCCCAGCUCAGCAGCACAGACACAGCACAAGGACUUUAAUGACCCUCUGGGGCUUUGUGCUCAGGCCCUGAACAUCAGGCCCUGAGAGGGAGCUGCAGAAACCUCUCCAGAACUCCAAGUCAGAAUCCAACUCCAAAGUUUCUUGGACUUUUAAUGGGUCCCACUGAGGGACACGACUGAGAAAGUGUCCCCAGGCCCCAGGCAGA
rnacentral:lncRNA from 1 species